rnacentral:rRNA from 1 species
GACGAACGCUGGCGGCGUGCUUAACACAUGCAAGUCGAACGGAAAGGCCCUGCUUUUGUGGGGUGCUCGAGUGGCGAACGGGUGAGUAACACGUGAGUAACCUGCCCUUGACUUUGGGAUAACUUCAGGAAACUGGGGCUAAUACCGGAUAGGAGCUCCUGCUGCAUGGUGGGGGUUGGAAAGUUUCGGCGGUUGGGGAUGGACUCGCGGCUUAUCAGCUUGUUGGUGGGGUAGUGGCUUACCAAGGCUUUGACGGGUAGCCGGCCUGAGAGGGUGACCGGCCACAUUGGGACUGAGAUACGGUCCAGACUCCUACGGGAGGCAGCAGUGGGGAAUAUUGCACAAUGGGCGGAAGCCUGAUGCAGCAACGCCGCGUGCGGGAUGACGGCCUUCGGGUUGUAAACCGCUUUCGCCUGUGACGAAGCGUGAGUGACGGUAAUGGGUAAAGAGGCACCGGCUAACUACGUG